rnacentral:tRNA from 1 species
UGCAGGAUAGAGCGGUCCGGUAGCUCGUCAGGCUCAUAAUCUGAAGGUCAGUGGUUCGAAUCCACUUCCUGCAACCA